rnacentral:tRNA from 1 species
ACCUGGGUGGCUCAGUUGGUUAAGCGUCUGACUUUGGCUCAGGUCAUGAUCUCGCGGUUCGUGAGUUCGAGCCCUGCCUCGGGCU